rnacentral:pre_miRNA from 1 species
UAUUUACUCCCUCUAUUCCGAAUUAUUCGUCGUGGGUAUGGAUGCAUCUAGAUGUAUUUUAGUUUUAGAUACAUCAAUUUUUGCAACGAGUAAUUCGGAAUGGAGGAAGUACUUG